AUUGAACGCUGGCGGCAUGCUUUACACAUGCAAGUCGAACGGUAACAGGCCGCAAGGUGCUGACGAGUGGCGAACGGGUGAGUAAUGCAUCGGAACGUGCCCAGUCGUGGGGGAUAACUACUCGAAAGAGUAGCUAAUACCGCAUACGAUCUAUGGAUGAAAGCGGGGGACCGUAAGGCCUCGCGCGAUUGGAGCGGCCGAUGUCAGAUUAGGUAGUUGGUGGGGUAAAGGCUCACCAAGCCAACGAUCUGUAGCUGGUUUGAGAGGACGACCAGCCACACUGGGACUGAGACACGGCCCAGACUCCUACGGGAGGCAGCAGUGGGGAAUUUUGGACAAUGGGCGCAAGCCUGAUCCAGCAAUGCCGCGUGCAGGAAGAAGGCCUUCGGUUGUAACUAGCUUUGUACGGUAACGAACGGUACCUGGUUAAGUACCUGGGGCUAAGUGACGGUACCGUAACGAAUAAGACACCGGCGUAACUAACGUGCCAGCAGCCGCGGUAA
rnacentral:rRNA from 1 species